UUUUUUUUUUUUGAGACGGGGUAUCAUUCUGUCACCCAGGCUGGAGUGCAGUGGUGUGAUCAUGGCUUACUGCAGCCUCAACCUCCCAGGCUCAAGUGAUCUUCCUGCCUCAGCCUCCCGAGGAGCUGGGACCACAGGCAUGUGCCAGCAUGCCCAGCUAAUUUUUAAAAUAUUUUUGUAGAGAUGGGAUCUCCCAGUGUUGCUUAGGCUGGUCUUGAACUCCUGGGCUCAAGUGUUCCUCACGCCUCAGCCUCCCAAAUUGUUGGGAUUACAGGCAUGAGCCACUGUACCCGAAAAGAACCAUCUUAAAGAGAAAAAGGAGCUGUUUUUAUUUUUUGUUUUUAGAAGGCCACGUUCAUUUUUUCAGAGGCACUUGAUCUCUUUAGUGCUUUUAGGAUUUUUAAAAACUGUUACACAACAGCUUCUUCCUAAAGGCUGAAUCACAGGCACUUUAGAAAACUUCUUAGUAGGGGAGGCUCCACUGAAAUGUACUCGAUACCUACACUCAACAGGAGGGAUAUAUUUUGAUUUUGAGUUUGACAGGCUCACACUGAUCUCAUUUAAGUCCUUACCCGGCUGGAGCUCAGGAAUUCCAAUGCUCUUUCCACAGGAACUUCCUCACGUCUUGUGCCGAACAGAGGGGCAUGACCUAGGCCCUGCUUCUGCAAGGAAAGAGAAGUGGCUCCUGAGAAGUGUAGUGGCCUCUUGGGGAUAUACAUUGUUUUCCUAAAGGCCCACAGUACAGGGCAAGAGUUCUCUUGGCAAACCGAAUUAGAAAUUAAAAAAAAAAAAAAUCUGAUUUGUUCACAUUAUCGAAUAAUGGCCCAGAGGCUGUGGAGUAGAUGUCCAAUUUCAAAGGCCUUGCUUUUCCUCUGAGCCAGAGGCCUUUCAUCACAGCUAGGAAAUUACCUCCCUAACGUGCAUGCUGCGCCUGCCUCCGUAAUCCAGAGGUCAGAAAGGCAGAGCACGUCCAUAAGAUGGAGGCAAAACCACAAAUGGAAAACCGGGUGUCUCUGCAGAAACAAGACCAAGGAGCACCAAGGCACUGCCAUUCAAACCCAACACAGCCUUCAGUGAGUGCUCUCAGGAGGCCUGACAGCAGAAUAUAUGCCCUAGGCAAGAAUGUCACCCGAGGUGCCCAUGUCUCCUGCCCUCGUGUUGUGUCCCAGGUCUGAGUCCUCUGCUUGGGUAAUGCUCCAAGCUGCAAAUGCCCCCAGCGAAUUGUACCUCCUCAACCCAUCAGAGACGCUCUGUCUAAGGACCUUCCUACCAGUGGGGGUUAGGAGGAAAGCAUGGGAAUGAAAGAAUUCAAACCAAGGGGUGCAUGAUGGUAGCCUCUCAGGGAUACUUGUAGUUGAAAAGAGAAGCCCCUGUUGUAGGGAAACACCAGUGUACAGAUAGACUUCAGAUGCUGUGGGGCACGGCGCCAGGCCAGCUGUGUGGAGCUGCAUUCCAGCCAAGUGACUGAAUAUCUGCUUUCAUGCGGUUUUGUGGAGCUGCUACAAUCUUCCACCUCUGCAGAGUAUGCCCGUUUCUUCCAGUCGCCACGAAAGGUCAUGCAAAAAGGGA
rnacentral:lncRNA from 1 species